rnacentral:rRNA from 1 species
GACGAACGCUGGCGGCGUGCCUAAUACAUGCCAGUUGAGCGAUGAAGAUUGGUGCUUGCACCAAUUUGAAGAGCAGCGAACGGGUGAGUAACGCGUGGGGAAUCUGCCUUUGAGCGGGGGACAACAUUUGGAAACGAAUGCUAAUACCGCAUAACAACUUUAAACAUAAGUUUUAAGUUUGAAAGAUGCAAUUGCAUCACUCAAAGAUGAUCCCGCGUUGUAUUAGCUAGUUGGUGAGGUAAAGGCUCACCAAGGCGAUGAUACAUAGCCGACCUGAGAGGGUGAUCGGCCAAAUUGGGACUGAGACACGGCCCAAAAUCCUACGGGAGGCAGCAGUAGGGAAUCUUCGGACAUGGACGAAAGUCUGACCGAGCAACGCCGCGUGAGUGAAGAAGGUUUUCGGAUCGUAAAACUCUGUUGGUAGAGAAGAACGUUGGUGAGAGUGGAAAGCUCAUCAAGUGACGGUAACUACCCAGAAAGGGACAGCUAACUACGUG